rnacentral:rRNA from 1 species
AGCAGUACCGCGGGAAUACGAAGGGUGCAAGCGUUGUUCGGAUUUACUGGGCGUAAAGGGCGCGUAGGCGGCGCGGUAAGUCACUUGUGAAAUCUCUGAGCUUAACCCAGAACGGCCAAGUGAUACUGCUGUGCUAGAGUGCGGAAGAGGCAACCGGAAUUCUUGGUGUAGCGGUGAAAUGCGUAGAUAUCAAGAGGAACACCUGAGGCGAAGGCGGGUUGCUGGGCCGACACUGACGCUGAUGCGCGAAAGCCAGGGGAGCAAACGGGAUUAGAGACCCCAGUAGUCCCUGUCUCUUAUACC